GGGUUGUGAGGUUAAGCGACUAAGCGUACACGGUGGAUGCCCUGGCAGUCAGAGGCGAUGAAGGNNNNNNNNNNNNNNNCCGAAUGGGGAAACCCAGUGUGAUUCGUCACACUAUCAUUAACUGAAUCCAUAGGUUAAUGAGGCGAACCGGGGGAACUGAAACAUCUAAGUACCCCGAGGAAAAGAAAUCAACCGAGAUUCCCCCAGUAGCGGCGAGCGAACGGGGAGGAGCCCAGAGCCUGAAUCAGCAUGUGUGUUAGUGGAAGCGUCUGGAAAGGCGCGCGAUACAGGGUGACAGCCCCGUACACAAAAGCGCAUGUGCUGUGAGCUCGAUGAGUAGGGCGGGACACGUGGUAUCCUGUCUGAAUAUGGGGGGACCAUCCUCCAAGGCUAAAUACUCCUGACUGACCGAUAGUGAACCAGUACCGUGAGGGAAAGGCGAAAAGAACCCCGGCGAGGGGAGUGAAAAAGAACCUGAAACCGUGUACGUACAAGCAGUGGGAGNNNNNNNNNNNNNNNNNNNNNNNNNNNNNNNNNNNNNNNGGGCGUUAAGUUGCAGGGUAUAGACCCGAAACCCGGUGAUCUAGCCAUGGGCAGGUUGAAGGUUGGGUAACACUAACUGGAGGACCGAACCGACUAAUGUUGAAAAAUUAGCGGAUGACCUGUGGCUGGGGGUGAAAGGCCAAUCAAACCGGGAGAUAGCUGGUUCUCCCCGAAAGCUAUUUAGGUAGCGCCUCGUGAAUUCAUCUCCGGGGGUAGAGCACUGUUUCGGCUAGGGGGCCAUCCCGGCUUACCAACCCGAUGCAAACUGCGAAUACCGGAGAAUGUUAUCACGGGAGACACACGGCGGGUGCUAACGUCCGUCGUGAAGAGGGAAACAACCCAGACCGCCAGCUAAGGUCCCAAAGUCAUGGUUAAGUGGGAAACGAUGUGGGAAGGCCCAGACAGCCAGGAUGUUGGCUUAGAAGCAGCCAUCAUUUAAAGAAAGCGUAAUAGCUCACUGGUCGAGUCGGCCUGCGCGGAAGAUGUAACGGGGCUAAACCAUGCACCGAAGCUGCGGCAGCGAACGUAUCACCCAAGACAACUUUACGGAGUUGACGAUUGACGGAGCGAAGCGACGUCAAAGCGUUCAUUAAAGUCGAGUUGGCUUAGGGAUACGUUCGUUGGGUAGGGGAGCGUUCUGUAAGCCUGUGAAGGUGUGUCGUGAGGCAUGCUGGAGGUAUCAGAAGUGCGAAUGCUGACAUAAGUAACGAUAAAGCGGGUGAAAAGCCCGCUCGCCGGAAGACCAAGGGUUCCUGUCCAACGUUAAUCGGGGCAGGGUGAGUCGACCCCUAAGGCGAGGCCGAAAGGCGUAGUCGAUGGGAAACGGGUUAAUAUUCCCGUACUUGGUGUUACUGCGAAGGGGGGACGGAGAAGGCUAUGUUGGCCGGGCGACGGUUGUCCCGGUUUAAGCGUGUAGGUGUGUGUUCCAGGUAAAUCCGGUUCACUUUAACACUGAGGCGUGACGACGAGGCACUACGGUGCUGAAGCAACAAAUGCCCUGCUUCCAGGAAAAGCCUCUAAGCAUCAGGUAACANNNNNNNNNNNNNNNNNNNNNNNNNNNNNNNNNNNNNNNNNNNNNNNNNNNNNNNNGGAGCUGAAGUCAGUCGAAGAUACCAGCUGGCUGCAACUGUUUAUUAAAAACACAGCACUGUGCAAACACGAAAGUGGACGUAUACGGUGUGACGCCUGCCCGGUGCCGGAAGGUUAAUUGAUGGGGUCAGCGCAAGCGAAGCUCCUGAUCGAAGCCCCGGUAAACGGCGGCCGUAACUAUAACGGUCCUAAGGUAGCGAAAUUCCUUGUCGGGUAAGUUCCGACCUGCACGAAUGGCGUAAUGAUGGCCAGGCUGUCUCCACCCGAGACUCAGUGAAAUUGAACUCGCUGUGAAGAUGCAGUGUACCCGCGGCAAGACGGAAAGACCCCGUGAACCUUUACUAUAGCUUGACACUGAACAUUGAGCCUUGAUGUGUAGGAUAGGUGGGAGGCUUUGAAGUGUGGACGCCAGUCUGCAUGGAGCCGACCUUGAAAUACCACCCUUUAAUGUUUGAUGUUCUAACGUGGACCCGUAAUCCGGGUUGCGGACAGUGUCUGGUGGGUAGUUUGACUGGGGCGGUCUCCUCCUAAAGAGUAACGGAGGAGCACGAAGGUUGGCUAAUCCUGGUCGGACAUCAGGAGGUUAGUGCAAUGGCAUAAGCCAGCUUGACUGCGAGCGUGACGGCGCGAGCAGGUGCGAAAGCAGGUCAUAGUGAUCCGGUGGUUCUGAAUGGAAGGGCCAUCGCUCAACGGAUAAAAGGUACUCCGGGGAUAACAGGCUGAUACCGCCCAAGAGUUCAUAUCGACGGCGGUGUUUGGCACCUCGAUGUCGGCUCAUCACAUCCUGGGGCUGAAGUAGGUCCCAAGGGUAUGGCUGUUCGCCAUUUAAAGUGGUACGCGAGCUGGGUUUAGAACGUCGUGAGACAGUUCGGUCCCUAUCUGCCGUGGGCGCUGGAGAACUGAGGGGGGCUGCUCCUAGUACGAGAGGACCGGAGUGGACGCAUCACUGGUGUUCGGGUUGUCAUGCCAAUGGCACUGCCCGGUAGCUAAAUGCGGAAGAGAUAAGUGCUGAAAGCAUCUAAGCACGAAACUUGCCCCGAGAUGAGUUCUCCCUGAGA
rnacentral:rRNA from 1 species